GACGAACGCUGGCGGCGCGCCUAAUUCAUGCAAGUUGAGCGAUGAAGAUUGGUGCUUGCACCAAUUUGAAGAGCAGCGAACGGGUGAGUAACGCGUGGGGAAUCUGCCUUUGAGCGGGGGACAACAUUUGGAAACGAAUGCUAAUACCGCAUAACAACUUUAAACAUAAGUUUUAAGUUUGAAAGAUGCAAUUGCAUCACUCAAAGAUGAUCCCGCGUUGUAUUAGCUAGUUGGUGAGGUAAAGGCUCACCAAGGCGAUGAUACAUAGCCGACCUGAGAGGGUGAUCGGCCACAUUGGGACUGAGACACGGCCCAAACUCCUACGGGAGGCAGCAGUAGGGAAUCUUCGGCAAUGGACGAAAGUCUGACCGAGCAACGCCGCGUGAGUGAAGAAGGUUUUCGGAUCGUAAAACUCUGUUGGUAGAGAAGAACGUUGGUGAGAGUGGAAAGCUCAUCAAGUGACGGUAACUACCCAGAAAGGGACGGCUAACUACGU
rnacentral:rRNA from 1 species